rnacentral:rRNA from 1 species
UGAGGAAUAUUGGUCAAUGGGCGCAAGCCUGAACCAGCCAUCCCGCGUGCAGGAUGACGGCCCUAUGGGUUGUAAACUGCUUUUAUACAGGAAGAAAAAUCUCUACGUGUAGAGACUUGCCGGUACUGUAUGAAUAAGCAUCGGCUAACUCCGUGCCAGCAGCCGCGGUAAUACGGAGGAUGCAAGCGUUAUCCGGAUUCAUUGGGUUUAAAGGGUGCGUAGGCGGCUUUUUAAGUCAGUGGUGAAAUCCUGUCGCUCAACGAUAGAAUUGCCAUUGAUACUGAAAAGCUUGAGUUCAGUUGAGGUAAGCGGAAUGUGUAAUGUAGCGGUGAAAUGCUUAGAUAUUACACAGAACACCGAUUGCGAAGGCAGCUUACUAAACUGACACUGACGCUGAUGCACGAAAGCGUGGGGAUCGAACA